rnacentral:tRNA from 1 species
GCGAGAUAGCUCAGUUGGUAGAGCACCAUCUUGCCAAGGUGGACGUCGAGGGCUCAAAUCCUUUCGCUCGCUCCA